rnacentral:lncRNA from 1 species
CUCCUCCUUCCUCUCUCUUUUCCUCUCUUUUCCUUCCUCCUCCAUUCACUUCUUCUCUUCUCGAAUUUUUUUUAUAACUAAUCCUAUCGAUUUUUAUAAUUAUAAAAAUAGUUUUCUUAAAAAAAUAAUUAUAAAAAUAGACUUUUAAAUGCGGUGAAUGAUUCACCGCAUUCAUAACUUCUGUUUAGGAGUAGAAAAAUAAUAAAAGCGGUGAAUGGUUCACCGCUUUUACCAUCGUAGAAUUAUAAAAAAAAAGUGAGAAAAAGAAAGAAAACUGUGAAUGGUUCACCGCUUUUAAAAGUGAUAAAUCAUUCACUGCUUUUAUAAGACUAUAUUUAUAAAUAAAAAUUUAACAGGUUUAUUUCUAAAAUAAAAUUUUAAAGGGAGACUAUUGCACUAAACACCCCUCUCUUCUCC